GACGAACGCUGGCGGCGUGCUUAACACAUGCAAGUCGAACGGAAAGGCCCUGCUUUUGUGGGGUGCUCGAGUGGCGAACGGGUGAGUAACACGUGAGUAACCUGCCCUUGACUUUGGGAUAACUUCAGGAAACUGGGGCUAAUACCGGAUAGGAGCUCCUGCUGCAUGGUGGGGGUUGGAAAGUUUCGGCGGUUGGGGAUGGACUCGCGGCUUAUCAGCUUGUUUGUGGGGUAGUGGCUUACCAAGGUUUUGACGGGUAGCCGGCCUGAGAGGGUGACCGGCCACCAUGGGACUGAGAGACGGCCCAGAAGCCUACGGGAGGCAGAAGUGGGGAAUAUUGCACAAUGGGCGGAAGCGUGAGGCAGCAACGCCGCGUGCGGGAUGACGGCCUUCGGGUUGUAAACCGCUUUCGCCUGUGACGAAGCGUGAGUGACGGUAAUGGGUAAAGAAGCACCGGCUAACUACGUG
rnacentral:rRNA from 1 species